UGGAGCAGGGGCACCGCCACAUGCAGAGCCUGCGGUGGUGGGAGCCAUUUCCCACGGGAUCCCGCCCCGCCAUCCCAGGAGCCCUGGCUGUCGUUCCCUCAGCCUCACCCUGCCGGGACUCACGGCCCCUCGCCCCAGGAGUCAUUUGAUGCCACUAAUCAUGGCUGUGAUCCGGCACGCCGGGAUGUGUAAUGACAACGCUGAACAGGAAAAAUGGCACUCGGAUCCUCCGCUCUUCCCGCUCUAAUCUAUAUUUUACCACAUCUUUCUACCUAAUGAUACUUAUAACUGUUAAUAAAUGACUACUUAGGCACUUC